rnacentral:rRNA from 1 species
AAUCAUCUGGAAAGAUGAAUCAAAGAAGGUAAUAAUCCUGUAGUCGAAAAUGUUGUCUCUCUUGAGUGGAUCCUGAGUACGACGGAGCACGUGAAAUUCCGUCGGAAUCUGGGAGGACCAUCUCCUAAGGCUAAAUACUCUCUAGUGACCGAUAGUGAACCAGUACCGUGAGGGAAAGGUGAAAAGCACCCCGGAAGGGGAGUGAAAUAGAACCUGAAACCGUGUGCUUACAAGUAGUCAGAGCCCGUUAAUGGGUGAUGGCGUGCCUUUUGUAGAAUGAACCGGCGAGUUACGAUUUGAUGCAAGGUUAAGCAGUAAAUGUGGAGCCGUAGCGAAAGCGAGUCUGAAUAGGGCGUUUAGUAUUUGGUCGUAGACCCGAAACCAGGUGAUCUACCCUUGGUCAGGUUGAAGUUCAGGUAACACUGAAUGGAGGACCGAACCGACUUACGUUGAAAAGUGAGCGGAUGAACUGAGGGUAGCGGAGAAAUUCCAAUCGAACCUGGAGAUAGCUGGUUCUCUCCGAAAUAGCUUUAGGGCUAGCCUCAAGUGAUGAUUAUUGGAGGUAGAGCACUGUUUGGACGAGGGGCCCCUCUCGGGUUACCGAAUUCAGACAAACUCCGAAUGCCAAUUAAUUUAACUUGGGAGUCAGAACAUGGGUGAUAAGGUCCGUGUUCGAAAGGGAAACAGCCCAGACCACCAGCUAAGGUCCCAAAAUAUAUGUUAAGUGGAAAAGGAUGUGGCGUUGCCCAGACAACUAGGAUGUUGGCUUAGAAGCAGCCAUCAUUUAAAGAGUGCGUAAUAGCUCACUAGUCGAGUGACACUGCGCCGAAAAUGU